GGCUCGGGGUUUUUGGGCGACCAACCAAUUGGCUGUCUUGCAACUGCAAAAAUUUGGCUAUUUCUUUAGCUUUAAUACCACAGGCUAUAGUUUAAUUUUUUUAAAAAAAGACUAUUUCUUGAAGACACAGAUUUCUUCUAAGUUUUAGUAUUUGCUCAUGAUGGUUAUAGCAGACUUUUUUUUUGACACAGACUACAAUUCCCAGCAUACCUAAUAUUGAGUGUAAGGAGCUGGGGCUAUUCAAUCUAACUUCCUCUUCCUAUAUUAGAGCUGGCCUUGAAUUCUAGGAUGCUUUGCAUUCAGGAGCACAGAGGUAUUUGUUUUGGAGACAUUUCUGUCACGAAGUUCAAGUUUUCCGUAAACAGGAAACGGAAUGGAGUGGCAAAUUCUGCAGACCGGAUUGAAUUGUAGGUUUCACUUCGAAGGCGUGUCGGAGAUCUUGGAUGGUGAGGAGACAUGAGACUAAUUUCUCUCUGCUGGAAGGAAUGCAUAGAAGCAGCAGCAUGUGAAAGGGUCUGCCAUCCUGCUCAUCACAGGAAACAGAAUUUUGAAAACACUCUAAUUGUAUGAGAGGAAGAGUUCCACUUCAAGGCACUAUUUUUCACAUGAAAUAUGAAAUCAAGACUCAAUCAAGUGGAUGGAAAAGAUCCCAUAACAAGUUUUUUUGGAGGGCAGGGGAGUUAUUCACAGUAUUUUGACGAGUAGUUCUCCCUGAACUAACAGUCCCCCAAAAAAUGAACUGGCUAUAUUUCUUAGAUUACAGCAGUGUCUACACUUCAAAACUGGUUCAUUGGGUGUAAAGCACUUUGGGAUGUCUUCAGGUCAUGAAAUGUGCCAUAUAAGCUCAAGUCCUUUCUAGACGUCAGUAUAAGACACAGGCAAAAUUUAUACAACCUGCACACCUCAAACUCUAAACUGUACGUUAAUCAAGGUCAUAGCAGGAUCAGCACUUUCAUUUUAUAAUGUGAGGAGUUUCUGGCACAUCAGUCUCAUUUCUGAUGGGACAACACCAUUGGAGCAAUGUUAUUAAAUAGGAUAAUCUGGUCGUGAUCACUUCACUGUUUCUAAGAUAUUACUGUGUGCAAAUUGGCCAGUCUACACCAAAGAAAGUGAUUGUGACAACAUUUGAAAUACACUUCCAAUUAUCAAGCUUGGAAUAUGAAAGACAUUAUAGAGAAAGAAGGAUUUUUGUGUGAUUUUUAAAAAUUGACUUAUGGGAUAUCGGCAUCACCGGCUGGCUAGUAUUAUUGCUUGUCCCGAGCUGUCCU